rnacentral:rRNA from 1 species
AGAGUUUGAUCCUGGCUCAGGAUGAACGCUAGCGGCAGGCCUAAUACAUGCAAGUCGAACGGUAAAUAUUUAGCAAUAAAUAUGAGAGUGACGUACGGGUGCGUAACACGUAUGCAACCUACCCUUUACAGGCGGAUAGCUCGGGGAAACUCGAAUUAACCCGCCGUAAUAUAAUUGGAUGGCAUCAUCUGGUUAUUAAAUCUACGGAGGUAAAGGAUGGGCAUGCGUCUGAUUAGUUAGUUGGCGGGGUAACGGCCCACCAAGACGAUGAUCAGUAGGGGAACUGAGAGGUUGAUCCCCCACACUGGCACUGAGAUACGGGCCAGACUCCUACGGGAGGCAGCAGUAGGGAAUAUUGGUCAAUGGAUGGAAGUCUGAACCAGCCAUGCCGCGUGCAGGAAGAAGGCCUUCUGGGUUGUAAACUGCUUUUGCCAGGGGAUAAAAUGACCUUGCGAGGUUAAUUGAAGGUACCUGGUGAAUAAGCCACGGCUAACUACGUGCCAGCAGCCGCGGUAAUACGUAGGUGGCAAGCGUUGUCCGGAUUUAUUGGGUUUAAAGGGUGCGUAGGCGGCUUAUUAAGUCAGUGGUGAAAUACUCUAGCUCAACUAGAGGGGUGCCAUUGAUACUGAUGAGCUUGAGUACAGAUGAGGUAGGCGGAAUUGACGGUGUAGCGGUGAAAUGCUUAGAUAUCGUCAAGAACACCUAUAGCGAAGGCAGCUUACUAGGCUGUAACUGACGCUGAGGCACGAAAGUGUGGGGAUCAAACAGGAUUAGAUACCCUGGUAGUCCACACUGUAAACGUUGAUUACUCGCUGUGUGCGAUAUACAGUACGCGGCCAAGCGAAAGCGAUAAGUAAUCCACCUGGGGAGUACGCCGGCAACGGUGAAACUCAAAGGAAUUGACGGGGGUCCGCACAAGCGGUGGAGCAUGUGUUUAAUUCGAUGAUACGCGAGGAACCUUACCUGGACUAGAAUGCCCUUGACCGAUCCAGAGAUGGAUUUUUCCGCAAGGACAAGGAGCAAGGUGCUGCAUGGCCGUCGUCAGCUCGUGCCGUGAGGUGUUGGGUUAAGUCCCGCAACGAGCGCAACCCCUAUUUUUAGUUGCCAACAGGUUAAGCUGGGGACUCUAAAAAGACUGCCCGCGCAAGCGGAGAGGAAGGAGGGGACGACGUCAGGUCAUCAUGGCCCUUACGUCCAGGGCUACGCACGUGCUACAAUGGCGUAUACAGAGUGUUGCAAACCAGCGAUGGUAAGCCAAUCACAAAAAGUACGUCUCAGUUCGGAUUGCAGGCUGCAACUCGCCUGCAUGAAGUUGGAAUCGCUAGUAAUCGCGCAUCAGCAAUGGCGCGGUGAAUACGUUCCCGGACCUUGUACACACCGCCCGUCAAGCCAUGAGAGUCGGGAGGACCUGAAGGCAGUUGCUGUAAGGCGCUGUUUAGGGUUAAACCGAUGAUUAGGGCUAAGUCGUAACAA